GUGAAUGAUCAUGCAGCUGCUGUGCAAAUUGCUGCCGGGAGCAGCAAUACCCACAGAGAGGUCUGCGGAAGAUUUAAACUCUCCAGCAGGCUGGGCUGGCUGGUCAAAGGUGAAGUCUCAUGGCCUGGCAACAACAUGGAAACUUCCUCCCUCUCCAGAAAAUCUUCCUGCUUCUACCUGCUGUUGUCUGGAGAAUGUCCUUGAGUCUGGAGGACAGACCUUAUCUGAAAGUUGUCUCUGACCCAGAUCCCUGAUUUAUCCUUAACUGGAAACCUGGCACGGAUUUCUGUUAGAAGACUUGUACUAGGAGCUCUGCUAUAGGUUUCUGAUAUCAGCCUACCACUUGUUGCAAAUGAAGUCUUGUCCUUAGGCUCCUCAGUCCUAUAUAUUCCUUAUGUUAUAGAAUAAAGUUGAGA
rnacentral:lncRNA from 1 species